UUAACUCAAAUUUGUAUGGAGUUAGAACAGUCUCUCGUUUGCCGCUAGGGGCGCUAUUCCAACUCCAUACAAAUUUCAGUUU
rfam:Bombyx mori DNA, contig: Bm_scaf58_contig28309, strain: p50T/Dazao, build 2, whole genome shotgun sequence.